UACGUAGGGCGCAAGCGUUGUCCGGAAUUAUUGGGCGUAAAGAGCUCGUAGGCGGUUUGUCACGUCGGAUGUGAAAGCCCGGGGCUUAACCCCGGGUCUGCAUUCGAUACGGGCGGACUUGAGUACUGCAGGGGAGACUGGAAUUCCUGGUGUAGCGGUGAAAUGCGCAGAUAUCAGGAGGAACACCGGUGGCGAAGGCGGGUCUCUGGGCAGUAACUGACGCUGAGGAGCGAAAGCGUGGGGAGCGAACAGG
rnacentral:rRNA from 1 species